AAAACCGCGGGUUCGAAGAAGAGACUGAAUUCUUGUAGAAUUGUGUAUAAUAUCCAAAAGCUCUAGAACUCUCCACAGUUAUAUAAUAUUUAAUAGGAUAGUUGGGAAAGUUCUAAAAGAUAGAUCUAGCCCAUCUAUUAAAAUGAAUUAUAACCUUUGGAUCAAAAGGGCUUGCUAAGUAGAGGCUUUCCUUUUUCAUUUAUACACUUAAGCUAACUUUUCUUGAGCAAUAUACUUCCACAUUCUCUCCAACUCUCUCAUUCUUUAAAGUGCUCUCUAUGUGCUUAUUUAGGCUAAGUGUGCGAAAACUUUUCUAAGCAAGAAUUGAAUGAUGACUUUGGCUUGUUGUCAUAGGAACCAGCUUAAGGCCGCACAUGACCAGAACUUUAGUCUCGACCCAUGACACUUGCUUGCGCCUGUAGAUUCACAUGCAUCAAUCAAGUUCUUCUAUUAGCCUGGUUAUUAACUUGUACAUUAAAUUAUAGGUUAGGUCUGAUAUGGAG
rnacentral:lncRNA from 1 species